GACGAACGCUGGCGGCGUGCUUAACACAUGCAAGUCGAACGGUGAACCCCUUCGGGGGGGAUCAGUGCGAACGGGUGAGUAACACGUGAGCAACCUGCCCCUGACUCGUGGGAUAACCCCGGGAACCGGAGCUAAUACCGGAUAUGACACCUUCGGGCAUCCGAUGGGUGUGGAAAGAUUUAUCGGUUGGGGAUGGGCUCGCGGCCUAUCAGCUUGUUGGUGGGGUAAUGGCCUACCAAGGCGACGACGGGGUAGCCGGCCUGAGAGGGCGGACCGGCCACACUGGGACUGAGACACGGCCCAGACUCCUACGGGAGGCAGCAGUGGGGAAUAUUGCACAAUGGGCGCAAGCCUGAUGCAGCGACGCCGCGU
rnacentral:rRNA from 1 species